AUGCGUGGCAACAGCCAGGGAGAGCUGACACCACUAUUAGGCAGAGAGUACGGCUCCCGCCAGAGGUGCCUGGGGAGUGAUCACGUGUCCCCGGGGCCUUUGCACGGGGCAAGCUACAUCCUGGUGAUGGUGGACCCCGACGCCCCGAGCAGGUCGGAGCCCAGGCUGAGGUUUUGGAGACACUGGUUGAUGACAGACAUCAAGGUAAGCAGCCAGGGGUCAGAGUUCACGCCCGGGGGAGCUGGAGGCCGGCAGGUGCAAGGACAGCCGCGUCAGGUCGCCCCAGCACUCAGCUGAUACCGCCCCUCCCAAGUGGUCCAGCAGUUGCAAGAAGUGUCUCGGUGGCAAGGCGGGUGCCACAUCUCGGUUGAGACAAUGGUUGUGUAGGAGCCAGAGUUGGCCUUGGGAACACAAAUAUGGUGCCUUGUUGGUGAGCAUUAUACGGUUGGUGGGGGGCAGUGGGAGGGACAGGUAGACUGUCCUACCAUACACGUUUUGGACACUCUGGGGUGAGCAGUAUUGAAGGGCUUUGUUGAGUUUUUCCCACUAGCAAUCAGCCCUCUGCAACUGCCCGUUCCUCAUCUGUGUAUUGAACCGACUGCAGAAUGAAAAUAUCUGGGGGCUGGGGGGUCUGCGUGUGUCCCGAACAUGUACCGGCUAUUUGCAUACAUGCUCGCCGCAAGCGGUCAGGAGCCCGUGCCUGGACAACCUGCAGUCGGGCUUUGCAAAGAGUGGGCAAAGCUUUCCACCCCGAGAGGACCCCCGUGGGAAAGCAGAACCAGAAAAAACCAGAUCUGCUCUAGAUCUUGCUGGUUGAAGACCCAGUAGCCCCUGUGUCGUCUCCCUGGAGCCAAGUGUUUCAACCUUAUCUGUUCCACGGGAACUGUGCUAACAACUCCACUGGGCCACACGCUGGGAGCGCUUUGGGAAAUGCAGAGACAACACGGGUGGGGGGGGGACUGUGCGUUUCUUCUGGAGUUGGGUGGGAGACGGGGCAGCAGUCUGCACUAGCUGACCAGGGGACUCUCCCAGCCACUGGGUGGGGGUGCUGAAAGAGCAGUCACCACAGGCCAGUGUCCCCCGCCCUUCGCCAGGAA
rnacentral:lncRNA from 1 species